rnacentral:lncRNA from 10 species
ACACUCAGGGAGUACACCAUGUGAAGACUGGACUUAAACAGCUACACCACCAGAAGCCGAGAGAGAGGCUGGAACAUAGCCUUCCCUUUGGAGGUAGCCUGGCCCGGUGGGCACUGUGAUCUCAGACUUCCAGCCUUCAGAACUGUGAGACAAUAUUUUAUUGUUUAAGCCACUUAUUUUUUGGUACUUUCUUACGGCAGCCCUAGCAGAUGCUAAUCCAGCGUGCGUCCUGACAGAGGUUGAAGGGGGCUUCUCAAGUCCCAGGUCCAGCUUGGUGUGGUUCAGCUACUCAAGAGACAUCUGCUGCUAAUGGAUGAGCAGUCAACCUGGACGCAGGAAAUCAUUUUUUAUUUGGACAAGCAAAGUGGAUCAGCAAAGGCUGCAGUCACCAGCAUCUUUUCCAACCUUAAUGAACUGUAUCCUCAAAAGAACACUAUCAGACUGGUAAGACAAGCAUUAUUGUCCCACUUCACAGAUGAAGAGCUUGGGGGCCCUGUGGAUGUGUAGGAGAGUCGGCCUUCCUUUUUAUAGGCCUUUUGCUGAGCUCAGAGGACAGAGCAGAAGACAAAGCCGAAAGCAGCCCUAAGCAGACACUAUCCCAGCCCAAGGAGCUAUGCAGACAGCUCCUGCCUAGAGGA